UACGAAGGGGGCUAGCGUUGUUCGGAAUUACUGGGCGUAAAGGGUGUGUAGGCUGUUUAGCAAGUCAGGAGUGAAAUCCCCAGGCUCAACCUGGGAAUUGCUUUUGAUACUGCUAGGCUUGAGUACGGAAGAGGUGAGUGGAAUUCCCAGUGUAGAGGUAAAAUUCGUAGAUAUUGGGAGGAACACCAGUGGCGAAGGCGGCUCACUGGUCCGUAACUGACGCUGAGACACGAAAGCGUGGGGAGCAAACAGG
rnacentral:rRNA from 1 species